rnacentral:lncRNA from 1 species
CACCUUGCUAAGUUGCUGAGGGUGACUUUGAACUCCUGAUAGUCUUGCCUCAACUUCCCCAGCUGCUGUGAUUACAGUCGUGUACCACCGUGCCCGGCCUGCUUGAUACUUUUAUUUCGUUCCUUUCAUGUUCCUAUGAUGUGUCAUCUAAGAAACUUGGAAAUCUUCUGAAGCUGGUUAUGUUUAUUUUUACAUUACUAUAUCAUAACAUGGGUCCUUUACUUUUCUUUCUUGUCAUUGCUAAAUUGACUAAUUUUCCUUUCCCGAAUAUUUUCCAGCUUCAAAACAAGUUUAGAAUGUCUCAAGGUAAAUGUUUUUCGAGUAAAAAUUUUUAUGACUUCCUUUACAUAUGAGGCCUUUAUUACCCAGAAAUAUAUUUGAACUAUUACUUAAACUGCGCUAGAAAUGUUAACAUGAGGCUGGGUAUGGUAGCACAUACCUAUAAUCUUCGCUACUAGAGAAGCUAAGGCAAGUUCCAAGAUCUGUCUAUGCAAGUUACCAAUACUCUGUCUCAAAAUAAAAAAUGAGGUGUAGGAAAGUCCACUGACAACUAAAAAUAUAUUUUAAAAAAUAAAUUUAAAAAAUUUUUUAAAAAUUGAAAAGUCAUAUAGAUAUUUGGUAGUUAAAUAUUUUUCCAUGUCAUUGUGUUAUCACUUGCAGGGCAUACCAAUGUUUAGUUGAGCUUUUUGUGCAUAGCCUAUUAGGUCAUUUUUUAAUUUACCAUUUUCAAUGAUGAAUAUCCAUGCUUAUGGAUAACUCUUUGCACUUAUUUCUAAUUUCUAAUUGCUUCCAAAAAGAAAUGCGUUAUGGAAAAUUAUGAAUUAAAAACUAAUACUGGGGCCAGGCAUGGUGUCCCAUACUGGAAAGAGCAAGGACAGAGGAUUGCAAGUUCAAGGCUAGCCUCAGCUACUAAGCAAGACUAUGUCACACAAUGAAAAAUAAAAAUAAGGCCUGGCACAGUGGCAUACGGGCUAAUAAGGAGGCUGAGGCAGGAGGAUGGUGAGGUCAAAGCCAGCCUCAGAGGCAACCUUAGUGAUUCCCUAAGCAACUCAGCAAGACCCUGUCUCUAAAUAAAGUACAAAAAAGGCCUUCGGAUGUGGUUCAGUGGUUAAGUGCCCCUAGAGUCAAUCCCCAGUACCAAAAAGAAAGCAUGAUUAUGUAGCUCAGUGGUAGAGCACCUCUGGGUUCAACGCCCAGUACCACCAUGAUGCCAAAAAUAUAAAUAAAAAUUUAAAAAAUGUCUAACAAGCUAGGAUGUAGCUCACUGGUAGAGUACAUGUCUAGCACAUACCUGACCUUGGGCUCCUUCUCUAGCUUCAGAGGGAAAAAAAAAUCAUAGCUUGUUUUUACAUUCCUUGUUCCUUUAUCUGUUUAGGGAAUAAUAGUGAGACAGUGCAACCUGGAAUAAAAGGUGAAACUAAACAUCAUUUUAUCUUCAAAGGUUCAGAGAACACUAAAUGCUAUUCAUCGACCCCAUCCAUUCCUCCAACAGUGAAUGAGGCAACCCUGUCUCCAGUAUUCUGUUACCCGAAGACUUCUUCCGUGCCAACAGCUCCAUUUAAUUUCAAUAAAGUAGCCUCCUCUGGGUUUUCAGAAAGAAGUAGCAUUCCCCACUGCACAAUGCCUUCUGGAAGACACAGUGGUGCUAAUGCAGCUGCUGGGGAAGGCACUGGAAUUGCACAGCCCAUCGACCUGGCUCCUCCUCCCUCCCUGCCUCCUCCCAUGACAGAUUCCCUUGCUUUUUCUGAGCCUCCCACUGGUCCAACUGAGCAGCUAACUACUAAUCAGCCAAAUCAGCAGCCCCCAUUCCUCAUUUCUCCUCAUGAGCCUGCUUCCUGUCUGGUGGAAGAAGAUGAGCAACAUUCUGAAGCAGAUGAGCCUGUAUCUGAUGACCCCCUAUCAGAUGACCUUCUUUCACCUGCUGAGGAAAAAUUGCCCCAUAUCGAGGAAUAUUGGUCAGACAAUGAGCACAUCUUCUCGGAUCCCAAUAUUGGUGGGGUGGCAAUUGCGCCCACUCAUGGUUCUGUCAUGAUUGAGUGUGCCCGGCGAGAGCUUCAUGCUACCACUGCUGUGGCCCACCCAAACCGCAAUCAUCCUGCUCGCCUCUCCCUUGUAUUCUACCAGCACAAAAACCUGAAUAAGCCCCACCAUGGUUUUGAACUAAACAGGAUUAAGUUCGAGGCUAAAGUAGCUAAGAAUAAGAAAAUGAAGGCCUCAGAGCUGAAAGACCAGGCAGCUAACAAGGGUGCUGAAUUGUCCCCUGAAAUAAAUGAAUUGAACCAAAUUCCUUCUCAUAAAGCAUUAACAUUGACCCAUGACAAUGUUGUCACUGUGUCCCCUUAUGCUCUAACACAGGUUGCAGGGCCCUAUAACCGGUGGGUCUGAAGGCUUUCCUCCCCUUCUUAAUGCCUUUCCUCAUGCAGUGUAUUUUUUCAAGGUGCUGUUAAGAGAAAGUCAUGUUGUCGUUUACUCUAUCUUCAUCUCACCCAUUUCAAGUCUGAGGUAAAAAUUUUAAAAAUGGGGUGGGUACUUAACUGUGACUAUUUUGUCAAUUGGUAGAAGGUGCACAUUUUAAGCAAAAAUAAAAGUUUUCUAGUUUUAAAUACAUAAAGAAACGUUUUGGUUAGGUGUUAACCUUGACAGAAUCACUCAGUUUGGUGCUUUAAAUUAAGUCUGUUUACUAUGAAACAAGAGUCAUUUUUAGAGGAUUUUAACAGGUUCAUGUUCUAUGAUGUAAAGUCAAGACACAGUGUUAACUCUACACAGCUCCUGGUGCUUAACCACAUUGACACAGUUAAAAAUAAGCUGAAUCAUUGUUUCAUGGUGCCAUGUUCCAAUAUCUUCCAAUCAUUGCUAGAAAAUCAGCAUUUUCCUUUGAAAUAAACCAAUGAAAUGCUUUCUCUCUUUAAAUAUUUCUCCUGUAUAAAAUAAUUCAUUAUUGUUUGUAAUGGUUGGAGGCUGUUCGUAAUUGUAAAUAUAUAUAUUUUCAAAGCACUUUCUAUUUUUAAAAGUAACUUGAAAUAGUAUAGUAUAGGAAUCCUAUUGUCUAUUGUUUGUGCAUAUUUGCAUACAAGAGAAAUCAUUUAUUCUUGCUGUGUAGAGUUCCAUCUUGUUAAAUGCAACAUGUUAUUUGCAUCCUGUAUAUGAUUUUUAUUCUUUUAAUGUGUCCUUUCAUGUUAUGUAAUAGCUACUUAUAUAAAAUAGUGAAUAAUUCCUAAAAUUGGACUUAAGAAACAUCAUCAAUAUUGACUAAGUUGUUUUAAAUUUUAAAAUAGUGUGGUCUCUUAUGAUUUAUUGAGCUACCAUGGCCUCAAGUUACUUCCAUCCCAGCUUUUUCAAUAUAACCCAUUAAACAAGUUUCAAAAGGGAAAUGGGAGAAAAUGUGAUUCAGAAGAGUCAAAUGCUUUUAAUGUGUCAAAGUGAUAUAAUACAAAAAUUAAGUAACCAGAAUCCUACCCAUCCCAAAUUGUUUUGUUUUUUUUUUUGUUAUGAUAUCCAUCCUUGUGUAGAAUAAUAGUUACUCCCUGGCCCUAGUCAAAGAAUGAUAAUAGUAUUAUAAAUAUGGUUAUACCGAAACAAAAUGUUUAGAACAAGAAGAACCUUCUAAGAAAUACUUGAUUCUGUUAAAAUGUAGAGGUGCUAUAACAUUCAAAGUAUCAGAUUCUUUGGGAGUCCAGAAAACCUAAUGGUGCUUCUCCCUUGAAAUGGCAUAGGAAGCCCACAACUGCUAACUCAUAAUUUUGGUGCAAAAGCAAACAGUUCCAGCAAGGUCUCAAAAAAAAAAAAAAAAAAAAACUCAUUAUAACUUAUUAAAAUAAUAUAUGGUGCAAAGUAUCAGUUUAAAGCUUUUGACUAAGUAAAGGAAUAUGAAGGGAUUGUAAAUAAGGACAUGUCCAUUAAUAGACCUGUAUAUGUAAAAUAGGGUAAUUCAAUGACUUGUUUUAGUAUUUUCUGUGCCUUAGAUAUCUGUUUUAAAAUGUGGCGUUUUUUUGUUUUGUUUUGUGUUUUUGUUGUUUUUUGAGCCUAAGGUUUCUUAUAAGUAUAUAAGUGAUUGUUUAUUGCUUCAGCUGCUUAAAUAACAUAUUUUCUAGCAUUUGACUAUCAGGAAUAGACCCUUGUGAUAACUACAUUUUAGAUUUUAAGCCUUAGCUCCCACUAGAAGUUGUUUCCUCACCAGAUAUAAUGGAUAAAACUUUAUGUCCCUUAAUGCAUCCAUCCAUCUACCCAUUUUCCCAGUACACACUUAUUGAAUACCCGAAAAAUUUAAAUGUCACUUUUGUUUUUCUCUGAAUCAUCACCUAUGAAAUGGUAGAGUUGAAGAAUUAAAAUCCUCAAUGAUACCUUGGAAAUAUAUUUUUAAAGAAAUAGCAAAUUACAUUCCAAAUAAUCCAUGGUAGUAUAUGUACAAUAAUUCAAAUCAAUUUGUUUUUGUCUUUAAAAAACUUUCAUAAUAAUCUAAACUUAUAACACCAAUGUUAAUUAAAGGGAGUAGUGGGAUUUGUGAAACUAGUUAUAGUUUACCAAAACAAUUACUGAGAAUGCCCAUUUUAAACUACAAUGUUUCCAGUCCAUUGUUGUAAUUAACAUCAUGAAUGGAAAUGUGCUCUUUCUCCUGAAGUGAGAAAAUAAAUUGGUUUGAAUGACAUUUUCACUCAUAAAACUGGUCAUCUAACAUUAUUUCUGCAUUUCUAUUAUGUUUUAGUAUAAUGACUUUUCUUUUUCCUCUUUAUUGCACUCAAAGUAGGUUUUAAGUCUGCUUUUUGUUCAUGGUAUGAUCAUUGAAUUCAUUUAUACCUGACUUCCAAGUUAUUCCAGUUAAUAAUGUUACAAAUUUAUCAACUAUAAUGGCCAGGCGCAGUGGCACUCACCUGUAAUCCCUGUGGCUCUGCAGGCUGAGACAGGAGAAUUGAAAGGUCAAAGGCAGCUUCAGCAAUGGCAAUGCGCUAAGCAACUCAGUGAGACCCUGUGUCUAAGUAAAAUACAAAAAUGGGGGUUGGGAUGUGGCUCAGUGGUCGAGUACCCCUGAGUUCAAUCCCCAGUACCAAAACAACAAAAUUUAUCAACUAUAAUAAAAUAACUCUUGCCUAUUGUAAAAUCCUACUGAAAGUAUAACUGUCCCUCAAAAUUCCAUUUCUAGUGUUUAUGAGGCCAUCACUGAAUUAUAUUUUCCCCCUCUGCUCAUCAGCCUUACCUACAUUUUGUUUCCAAUUCAUCCUUAAAGAGCCAACUAGAUCAUAUCAACCUAAUUGAAAUAUCUAUUGGGCAACGAAUCUACAAUUGUAGUUGAAUUUUGGGGACAUUCACAUCUUCAGUAACUUUCUAACAUCAUUAUUCAAUUUGCAUGUGGAUGAAAUAAUUUGAUUUGUUACAUACAGAACUUCACUAGAUGAGAUCCAUAACCAAUUUACUUAAGACAUAACCCCAAUACAUACUUAAUUGAAUGCAUACCCUUGUGCAAAUGUACCGACUUAGGUCAUAGGAAGUAACCUACUUUCUAAUGUUAUUACUCCUGUGGACUCACUGAUUAUCAUUCCACCAUAGCAUGAGUGAAACUAACCUGGAAAUAGUUCUUUAAAACAAAAAAAUCAAGAUUUUUUUUUUCUGAGGCAAAUUUAAAAUAUCAUUGCAUGACAGUUUCCACCAAUAAUGGGCACAGCAUUUCCUUUGAACAUGCCUACUAAAUUGAUUGGUUUAUGCAAUCUUCAGUAGUUUCCUUCAAUUUCACACUUUAAUGCAUAGAAACCUAGGUUUACUACAAGUGUGAGUAUUAAUCUUUUGUAGAAAUUUACGAAAAUUGUUAAAUAAGAUAACAUGUUAGCUUCUCAGAAUGUUGGAGUUCACCUCAGAAGUCAAACAGUUCGUUCACUAGAAGCCAAAGAACAGAUAUCAAUUUCAAUUUGUAAUUAAACCUUGAACCUUGUACAGGUGAAGACUACUUUGUGCUUAUAACCAUAGAGUAUAAACAAACUUUAUUUUCUCACCCACAAAGUGAUUUAUCACUAGGAAAUUGUCUUCUUUGGGAACGUAUCAAAAAUUAAAUGCCAGGUAUUGUGGUGUCCGUCUGCAAUCCCAACAAUUCUGGAGGCUGAGGCAGGAAGAUUAUAAAUUCAAUCUAGCCUCUGAAAUUUUGUGAGACUCUAAGCUAGUUAGUAAUGAAACCCUGUUUCAAGAUAAAGGGAUACAAGUGGACUCCGUGGUAAGCACCUCUGGGUCCGAGCACACACAAAAGAAAAUAACAUAAAAUUGCUUUUCCCCUCCACCCUGAGAUCUUUAGAAAAAGUGAACAGUGAAAAUAGGUCAAAAUGCCUUUGCCUGCUGACUUCAUGUACUUUUGUGGGAAAUUAGCUGACUUACCCAUGAAGCUGUCUUUUGUUUGUUUGUUUGUUUUUUAUUUAAUUUGGCACGGUACUGGGGACUGAACCCAGGUCCUUAUGUGUGCCACUGAACUACCUCCUCAUCCCUGGAAGCUAUUUUGUUAACUCUUCCUAGAAGAUGUGGCAAUACUCUGGCAUUUCAUUAAGCACAUCUCAAGAGCUUCUAUAGUGUAGGCUUAUACUUAUUCCUUCCCUUGGUACCUAGCAUACAUAAGGGUGUUUUUAAAAUAUUGGAUGAUUAAGAGGGCUGGAGCUGUAGCUCAGUGGCAGAGCACUUGUCUACCAUACAUGUGGCACUGGUUUCAAUCCUCCGCACCACAUUAAAAAAAAAAUACAGCCAUUUUAAAAGAUUGGAUGAUUGAAAUAUUUGAGGAAAACAUUUCCAUACUACCUAGCCAUGGUUAUACAACUCCCUUCAUAUCCAGCUAGGCAAGUCCCAGCAAUUAAUUUCGAUGUGUCUCUCUACAUGAAGUGGAAUAUUGUUUCAACAUCCAUAGCUCCUAAAAUUACUCAUAGGUGUGUUGUAGCUUCAACACAGGUCUGUACAUCAUACUUAACUAAGUGAUGUCAUCAGUGCCAGAUUACCGAGUCUGAGUUUAUCUAAAUCAAAUUGUGUUCCAUUUUGAGUUUUCUUCUAACAGCGUUAGAAAAUGUUUUCAUUGUGGCUCAGGAAGGCAAUUCUGAAAGUCAAAACCCGUAUGUACUUCAUUGGAAACUGAGUCUGCAUUUUCUUAAUGUAUGUGCUACAUAGAAACAGUAAGCUGAGACAGGAUGAUUAGUUCAAAGUCAGCCUCAGCAAUUUAUCCAGGCCUUAAGCAACUCAGUGAGACCUUUUCUCUAAAUAAAUAUAGGGCUUAGAGAUGUGGCUCAGUGGUCAAGUGCCCCUGAGUUCAAUCUCCAGUGCUCAAAAAACAAAAUAAACUGAAUACCUUGCUGGACACAGUAAUCAAGAGGAUCACAAGUCAGCCCAACCUGGGCAAUUAAGCAAGGUCCUGUCUCAUGAUAAAAUAUAUUUAAAAGAAGAGAGAGGUGGCUGGAGAUAUACUCAGUGAUAGAGCACUCCAGUUUCAAUUCCUAGUACCACAUUAAGGAAAAAGGAAGUUUCUCUAUUAAUUUUUUAAAAAUGGUAGAGCGAGCUUUUAUUCAAGAGCUCACUAUUUUUGUCCUUGUUGAGCUACCUAUUCGGUUCAGCAUCUGGAUGAAUUUGAUUUCCCACAUCUUAAGCCUGGGCUGGUCUUUAACUACAGCAAUCUUCCUGCCCCAGCCUCCCAGACAGCUGAUACUAUAGGCAUGAGCUGCUGUGCCCAACUUGAAUGAAUAUGUUUUGAUCCUUUUUUGGGGAGGGAUGCGCCCAAUUAAAUAUCACUGUUUACGCAGAAGGAUUUUUUUUUUUUUUUGAGAUAGAGGUCUUCUUUAUUCCCCAAACAAGCCUCUGACAAAAGGCAUAUGUUUCAUUACAUCAAGUAAUCCAAAGGGAACACUUAUAUUGUCACUCUUCAUUUUCACUUGUGUUUAAAGUGCCUCAAGGCCAGGUGCAGUGAUGUGCCUCCUCAAGAGGCUGAAGCCAGACACAUCACAAAUUUGAGACCAGCUUUAGCAAGACCCUAUCUCGAAAUAAAAAAUAAAAGGGGCUGGGGAUGUAACUCAGUAGUUUAAGUGACCCUGGGGGGUUCAAACCCCAGUACCAAAAAAGGAAGGGGUAGCUCAAGGCAUGUUCAAGUUUAUCUUGGUUAGUAUGCAAACACUUCAUAUUCCUAGCUUUAAAAUUCAAACAUUAAUAAUUUCCUUAUUUCCUGUAGACAUUUUUACAUCCCUACUAUCAUUCUCAUUAUCUUAUCUGGGUCAUAAACUUUAUUCUCCUUUGUUCAGCCAUAGAUGUCCCUUAUUUUAAAGCAAAAUUUAGUCAAAAGUAGGAAUGUUAUCAAAUAGAGCAUAAGCUGAUUUAACUCACUUAUGUUUGAAUGUGAUGUUUGAGAAUUGGUUAAUCCUAUAAACAUAAUUGUCUAAAAAUAGAAAUUUUGCCCCAGCAGCUGUUAUGUAAAGGCAUUCUCGUUCAUAAGAAAAAAAAAUUGCAGCUGUCAGAUUUUCAUUUUAGGAGAAAUAAUAUUGGAAUGUAAUUCUCCAUUUGGCAGGCUAUAAACUUAAAAGCCUGGGAUAAAAAUUCGGAUCAUUAUUAUUUUUCCAUUUUAUGGAAGCUGCACUGUUUGCUAAGUUCACUUUGAUUCUUUUUACAUCUUUAUUCUUCCUGUGAUUUUUAUUUACAUUCAUAAAAAUUUCUUUGUCCAUUUCUUUGUUCUGUUUCCAUUCCUCAGGUCCAUUCUGCAAAUACACAUGGUUUGUUUUAAAAACAGUAGUGACCUUGGUUAAGUUGUCUUUUUCUGUCUUUUAAAAUCAUCUCUCACAAGUCCUUUCAGAUACAAUACCAAAAGCAAUCAAGAGCUUUUAUUAAACCAUUUAAAUUUAGUGGCAAAUUCUGUUUAUAGGAAUAUGCAGUAGAUAUAAGAACAGAGUUUAUUAUCAAGUGGUGUCUCUACAAAUCCCAUUAAUAUUUAAAUUUUUUCUUGGUGUUCAAGACUUUUGCCAAAAAAAUUGUAUUAGAAGAGAAAUAUUUUAAGACUUUGUGUUUGGUAUGGUUUUGCAAUUUCUGUGUAAUCCCUCAUGCUAAUUAUAAAUUUACUAAACAGUAACUGAAUUAGUAAUGGAUCUUAUCUACAAAGUAGGCAGUAUCUCUUUACCUGUAUUUCUAAUUUCCCAAUCAAACUAUGUGGAUAGCUAUUUUCUAAUGUAAAUUUACUCCUUUGGCAUUCUUAGGUUGUUAGCAAUAGUAGGAACUAUUCUAUAAUCUGGGUGAGAAAAGUCUAAAAAUGAAAGUAAUUGGAAGAGGGUGAUUCAGUAAGCCAUCAGAAAGUGAAGGGCACGGCACUAUGGGGAAGAGUUAAGGGCCAGAAAGGAGGGAGAAUUAUGCUCCUACCAGCAACUGAAGGUUCAAUCAACCACCUCAAAAGGAAGAGAUACUUUUUAAUAUUUCUUCUUUGCACUCUACAACAUUUUAUAUGUGAAAGUUGCUGCUAAAAUUAAGGAAAUGUUUUGGACGUAAAUAUGACAGUAAUAAAAGCUAUGAUCCUUGGCUGGGGAGAUAUCUCAGUGGUACAGUGCUUGCCUUGCAUGUUCAAGGCCCUGGUUUAAUCCCCAAUAUCAAUAAUAAUAACAAUAAUUAUAAUAAUACCCCUGCACUUAAUGAAGCACUAUUAUAAAACUGCUUUAUUAUGUGCAACUUUUUCUUUCUGACACUGAAAAUCAGACAAAGAAUAUUAUUCCCAUCUUACAGAUCAGGAAUAUGCGGAUGACAAGAAUAGUAAAUGGCUGGGACUUAGAGAGUCACCAAGCAACUCAAACAAUCUGAGAAUAAAAUAUUUAAAUAUUUAGUAUCUGCAGAGAAUCUUAUAAUUUGAAGAACAUGUUUCUCAAGUAUUUUGUUUCCAUUAUUUAUUAAACUAGCUAUUUUCUCAUGCCUAAGAAAAGAUUCCUAAAUUCCUAGGACUUACAUAUUAGGGCUUGGAUUUACUGUUUCUUUGUUUUUUUUUUCUUCCUUAAAAAAAAAAACUUUAUAAAGAAUAUCCCUGGGGGCUGGGGAUGUGGCUUAAGCAGUAAGGUCACCUGGCAUGCGCGGGGCACUGGGUUUAAUCCUCAGCACCACCGAAAAAACAACAACAAAAAAAUACCCCGGUACUACUAAAAUCGGGAAUCUUCUAAAUAAUUUUUCGAAUACUACUUAAAAAAAGAGGGUCAGCACCUCACAAUCAAUGUUUAAUGUAUUUCUUAAAAUUUAUUGAAGUGCACGUUUCUUGAAGGAUAUGGUGCAAGGUAAGCAAUUCUAGUUCCCAGCCCCUCAUAAUAUAAAUGCUAAAUUGUUGGCCUAUCUAAAAGGAAACACUUUUUUUUUUUAAAUUUGAAUUUGUCUUGUUUUUUGUUUCUCUUUGUUUUCAGGCACAUAAAAUUUGUGGUUCAAAAGAUAUAUAUUCCUUUGCCAGAAGGUUAAGAAAAAUAAUGAGAUGUAUUUGUAAAGUUUCUAAUAACCUUUAUAUAGAUUAUUUUAGCAACCCCUAUAUAAAUAUAGAGUGAAUAUUUUGACUAUUCCAUCAGUACAAAAAUCCAGGCCAAAAUUUGAAUAUUAAGAACAAACAAAAAAAAUCUUAUGAUUUUGGUGAGUUUGGUAACUGCCUAUCCUCACCAAUGCCUAUCUGUGCUAGGAUAAAAUGGAUAAUGAUAUAGAAUUUCACAAAAACAGCUCUUUUUAAAAAAAGAUUAAAUAUUUUUAUUGCAAUGUAUGGUUAUAUAUUUUUUUUUAGCCUUUGUAAGAUAACAUUGUGAUAGGUGCUUGAAGAGGAUAUUUUUCCAGAACUGGUUUUAUAGUAAAAACUAAGGGCAGCUUUUGCAUUGUGAAAUAUGGGUAGAUGGCCAUAUAUGGGUUACUGAGAAAUCAAGAUGUGUUCCCUAAAAAGAAACUUAUAAAAUUACUUGGCAGAGAGAUAACCAUGUUUUCUGUUUCGUUCACAUUUUCUCAUGCUAUAUGGUCACCUACCAAGUAAAUUCACAUGCAUAUCAUUACCUUGGCUUAAAGGAGAAGCAGAAUGCUCAUUCUUGGCAGGAACAAAAUGCUCAAAGGUUCUUUACCAUGGUGAAAUAGAGUAGUACUGAAUUCCCAAGAGAGAAUUAUCAGUUUUAUAAGUUAAUAUUUCUUGUCUCUACCUGACUUCUCUCUUUGGAAUAUAUUUACUAUUUAUUUUUUUACCUUUGAUUUUUUUGCUUUGGGGUAUUUUUUUUUUUUAUCUAUUGCCGUCCUACUGUAUUAAAUAUCCCUUAUAUUGAAAUGUUUGUAAAGAAAUACUCUUUAAAACUUCACAAAAUAUCUGUUUUAGUUCUUAACAUAUGAGGGAAACAGUUAAAGAAAAAGCACUUCACCAUGUAGAAGGGAAAGAGAUAAUUCUGUAAUUAUGAUACUUUUAUUACAUGAUCAACAUUUAGGCCUCUGCAGACAAGGGAACACUUACUAGCAGUACUUGAAGACGUAAGUUGGAAUUGCAUGUUACUUGAAAGAUCUAAUUAAGCUAAAUUUUGGUGCACAGCAGUUGUACAUGAUUUCAUGUUUAUGUAGCAAAAUGCAUUGAAAUGUACUAGUAUUGAAAUAUACAUGUAAAGGUAGUUGUGGAAAUUGUCUAUUAUAUUUUCCUGUGUGUUUAAUUUGUUAGAGCAUAAACUUUCUUUUUUUAAUUGUUCUAACUAAAUAAGGCUAAAUGAAUAAUGUAAUUGAAAAUAUAUUUUAAAUCUUUGUGAUGAGUUUUUAAAAAAAAACUAUUACAAAAUUGUAUCAUUCCUGAUUACACAGAACUUUGUUGGUGGUUUUAAAUAAAUUUUAUACUUCUAUUUUGCACCUGGUAGUCUAAUUUUUCUUUCCUCUUCAAAAUCAUAUUUUAAAAAUUUAGUAUCCUACAGAAUUCACACAUUUUAAUUACAAAAGACAAUAAGAUUUAAUAUUUGGAGAUGCCAAACAUAUAGAUAAUGUUAAACACUAAACCAAGGCUGGAGGUGUGGAAUGCACUGGAUUCAUUGCCCAACAAUUAAAAAAUAAUAACAAAAAACUGUCCUUUGGUUGCACUAGCCAUGUUUGAAGUGCUUAGUGACCACAAGUCAUUAUGUGUCUACUGUAUUGGAUAGCUCAGCAUAUAGAAUAUUUUUAUCACCCUAGUCCUUUGUAGUCUUAUCACCUUGUUGCAUGUUUUCCCCUGGUAAUGAUUAAUUUGAUUUCAGUUUGUACGGUUUUUUAUGUUUUUUAGAAUGUUAAGAAAAUCAAAUGGCUGGCUUAUUUCAUUUAGCAUAAUGAUCUAGAGAUUCACCCAUGUUAAGAACCCUUAUUUACUACAAAAGAUAACCUUAAAUAAUAAUCAGAUGUCACCCAGAUUAGAUGUGCUGGUGGCAAUUGAUCUUCAACUGAUUCAUGUAUCCAAGCAGAAAUGAAACAAAGAUUUUUAACCAUGUAUAGUGGUACAUACCUGUAAUCCUAGAUACUUGGGAGGCUGAAGUGAGAGGAUCACAAAUUUGAGGCCAGCCUGUGCGAUUUAUUGAGACUCUGUCUUAAUAAAAUGGACUGGGUAUAUUGCUAAAUGUUAUAGUAUGUGUGAGUCUCUGGGUUCCCCCCUCAGUACUGCACCCAGAAGAAUUACAUAUAUAUUUUUUUAGUUAUGCAAUAUUUUUAUGUGGGACUGAGGAUCCAACCCAGUGUCUCACACAUGAGAGGCGGGCACUCUCCCUCCCCACCACAAUAUCAGCCCCAUAUAUACUUAAGUUUUAUAAGUAUACACUUAUGUGUAUAUAAUAUAUAUAUAUGUUUAAACUAAGACUUAGUGUUCUAAGUGCUUUCCGUUAGGUCAUGUUAUCUUUAAUCAAGAAGUACACAGGCCUGGGGUUGUGUCUCAGCGGUAGAGUGCUUACCUAGGCGCUGGAUUUGAUCCUCAGCACCACAUAAAAAUAAAGUUAUUGUGUCCAACUACAACUAAAAAAUAUUAAAAAAAAAAAAAAAAGUAGAAGUACACAGAGUAAAAACUAAUCACCUGCUCAGCCUGCCACAGUGAUUAACAGGAUCUAAGCAAGCAUGGAGUAGCAAGGUCUGGCUGAUCUAUUCCCAAGAAAUACUUGGAAAGAAAAAAUAUAACAUUUUCCUCAGGUUUGAUAUUAUAUAUUGUGUCAUGAAAAUUUUGGUAUACUGAUGACUUUGUAUUAUUCUGUUAAGGAAUAGAGUGUCUUGGGUGGGAUGCGGUAGCAUACACCUGUAAUCCCAGUCGCUAUAUAGUUGAGGCUCUUAAUCUCUACUUCCCUCCACUGUCCCUUCCCCAUAUCUUAGGGAACUGCUUUGUGAGGUGAUUUGAUCACUACACUUUAAGAUGGCCUUUUGGGGGCUGGGGUGUAGUAGAGUGCUUGUCUAGCAUGCGUGAGACAUUGGGUUUGAUUCUCAGCACCACAUAAAAAUAUAAAAAAAUCACAUAAUAAAAGCAUUCUGUCUUAAAAAAAAUGGCUUUUUUUUAAUGUUCAAUACUGAUAAUGAUAUGCAAGUUUCUUUUCUCCUUUCCUUUCUUCCUGUUUGGGGGAUGGGGGCGGAGAGAGAAAAGAGUCAGCUUUCUUUUAUUUGGACCACUGGAAGAUCAGUCUAUUCAUUUUUUUUUUUUUUUAAUGACAUUAGGUAGACUACUGCCCAAUGCACUUCAUUUUAUUUAUUUAUUUAAAGAGAGCAAGAGAGAGAGAAUUUUUUUUUUUCAGUUUUCGGCGGACACAACAUCUUUGUAUGUGGUGCUGAGGAUCGAAUCCGGGCCGCAAGCAUGCCAGGCCAGUGCGGACCUGCUUGAGCCACAUCCCCAGCCCAGAGUCUAUUCAUUUUUGUUGUUGUUUUGUUUUGUUGGUACCAGAGACUUUAUCAACUGAGUCACAUUCCCACCAGAGAUUGAACCCAGGGUCCCUUAACAACUGAGCCACAUAUCCAGUCCUUUUUUUUUUUUUAAUGUUUUAUUUAGACAGGGUCUGCUAAAUUGCUUAGGGCCUCAUUAAGUUGCUGAGCCUGGCUUUGAACUUGUGAUCCUCCUACCUCAGUCUCCUGAGCCAAUGGGAUUACAGGUAUGUGCCACCGCAUCCCACCCAAGACACUAUUCUUUAACAGAAUAAUACAAAGUCAUGAGUAUGCCAAAAUUUUCAUGACAUAAUAUAUAAAACCUGAGGAAAAUGUUAUAUUUUUUUCUUUUUCCAAGUAUUUCUUGGGAAUAGAUCAGCCUAGGCCUUGCUACUCCAUGCUUGCUUAGAGACAGGCCAUUGAUUCCAUAUAUUCAUAGGUGAAAACAGCAGAAUCAUAUAACACAUGACGUGAAGCCUUCCCACCUACUGCGGCUAGAGUGUCCAAGGUUUCCAUGGCAUGUUGGUAGAGUCCUAAUUCUCAUUUUUUUUUUAAUAGUUUCUUUUUUUUUUUUUUAUAUUUUAUUUUUAGUUUUCGGCAGACACAACAUCUUUCUUUGUAUGUGGUGCUGAGGAUCGAACCCGGGCUGCACGCAUGCCAGGCGAGCGAGCUACCGCUUGAGCCACAUCCCCAGCCCCUAAUUCUCAUUUUUUAAAAAGUCACAAUUCCCAAUGUCAUUUGGACUACCACCAGCACAAUUUCUCUAAUUCAUUUGGUCUUUGUACAUCUCUGAAUCUCAUUUCUUCACAAAUGUUGACUAUAUUUUUUCUCAGAGAGGAAGCAGAAAUCAUAGAUUAAAAUCCUCUCCUUUUGCCUGCUCGUUUAUAAACCAACCCCAAUCUGCACCUCUCUUCAUGUCUUUCCACCAAAUAAAAAAUAAAAGGGCUGAUUCAUCGAUGGACAUUGGUUUCUGCCCCAUUUUUCCUUCUCAAGGACUUUAUUUAUUUAUUUUUUAAAAUUUGUGUCUUAGUGGUACUGGGGAUUGAACCCAGGUUUGCUAUAUCACUGUGCUACAUCCCCAGCCCUAUUUAUUUAUUUUUUGCAAGGGGUUCACUAAAUUUGAAACUUUGAACUUGUGAUCCUCCUGCCACAGUCUUUAGUCAUUACAGGCCUGCAGCUGAGCUGAAACAUUAUCUUUCAGUUUGAUGAUAUUGAUAGACAACCUAGAAAUCAUGAGAUAACCAGACCACCAUGGCCAGUGCUAUGUGCCAUGAUUAAGAAAAAUGAGGCUGGGUGCAGUGGCACAUGCCUGUAAUCCCAGCAGCUCAGGAGCCUGAAGCAGGAGGAUCCAGAGUUCAAAGAGAGCUCAGCAAAAGGUGCUAAGCUACUCAGUGAGAUCCUGUCUCUAAAUAAAAUACAAAAAUAGGGCUGGAGAUGUGACUCAGUGGUCAGGUGCUACUUGAGUUCAAUCCUCAGUACCAAAAGAGAGAGAGAGAGAGAAGUGAGUUUACCAGACUGAUCUCUCUGCCCAGGCACUUCUCAUUUUCACAUUUUAUGCAGUUACCUUUGAAAAGAAGGACCCAAAACCCCCAAAAUGCAUUUCACCAUUGGGCUCCCACACUUCUCCCUUUGAAUGUUUAUACUGCUUUAAUGCUUGCUUUCCUGAAUAAAUCUCCUCUGUUUGCUAAAUCAAUCUUUGUGCUUCUCUUGAUACACCUUGACAUUCCUUUCAAUGGUGUAAAUCAAAAACCUAUAAGAGAGCUGGGAGUGGUGACAUAUGUCUAUAAUCCCAGUGACUCAGGACACAGAAGCAGGAAGAUCACAAGUUUGAGAAUAGCCUCAACAAUUUAGGAUAGUCCUAAGCAAUUUAGCCAGACUCAAAACAAUAAAUAAAAUGGCUGGACAAUCCCAAAAAAACAAAGUCUGAAUAUUUUCUCUGAUAUGUGGAUGGUGACACACAAUACAGGGGCAGGGAAGAAUAGAAGUACUUUGUAUUAGACAAAGGGGAAUAAAGGGGGAUGGGAAUAGGAAAGACAGAAUGAACCAGAUGUAACUUUCCUAUGUUCAUAUAUGAAUACACAACCAGCAUAACUUCACAUCAUGUAUAACUACAUGGGAAGUUAUACUCCAUGUAUGUAUAAUAUGUCAAAAUACAUUCUACUGUCAUGUAUAACUAAAAAGAAAAAGUUAAAAAAAAUUAUGUGCAAAGAAAAAAUAAUAAAAUAAAAGGGUUGGAGAUGUAUCUCAGUGGUAAAGUGUCCCUGGGUUCAAUCUCUAGUACAGCAAAAAAUAAAUUAAUAAAUAAAAUAAAAAUAAAUAAAUGCAUAAAUAAAUAAAAUGAAAUAUGAUGUAAUAGUUGAAGUGGUUUGCUUUCCUAAGGACAUAAUCAAAACAUAAGUAGUGACAAAAGUCACGUAAGUAGAGCCAAAAAAAAAAAAACAACUAAAAGCUUAGGUUUAGAAACAGUAAAAUACUAGUUUGUCUGUGAUUUUCAACUUUAAGCCAUUUCCUAGGAUUCAGUUCUAAAAGUAUUAGAAUGGGCCUGGGGUCAUACCUCAGUGGUAGAGCUCCUUAGUGUUGGGGAGGUUCUGGGUUCCAUCCAGAGGAGUGCAAAAAUAAUAUCAUGACAUGGUUGUCAUGUCCUAUCACACACAUUACUUUUUUUUAAUUUGUUCUUUUUAGAUAUACAUGACAGUAGAGUGUAUUUUGACAUACAUGAAGUAUAAUUUAUUCUCACACAUUACUUUGUUUAUAGUUAUUUUUUUUAGUUGUAGUUGGGCACAAUAUCUUUAUUUUAUUUAUUAAUUUUUUAUGUGGUGCUGCGAAUAGAACCUAGGGCCUUGCACGUGCUUGGCAAGCAAUCAGUAAUAAUAUUGAUGAUAGUAAUAGUAACAAAUAUUAUCAAUAAAUCCAAUUUCUUCAGCUUGGAGUAAAAGUUUAAUAGUUGUUUUUUGUUUGUUUGUUUUUGGUACCAAGGAUUGAACCCAGGGGCGUUUACCACUAAGCCACAUCCCCAGCUCUUUUUAUAUUUUUAUUUAGAUAUUUAGACACAGGGUCUCACUGAGUUGCUUAGAACUUCACUAAGUUGCUGAGGCCUUAGCCUCCCAAACAGCUGGAAUUACAAGCAUGUGCCACCAUGCCCUACUUGGAGUAAAAAUUGAAAUAAAAUUCAUAUUAGGGGGCUGGGGAUGUGGCUCAAGUGGUAGUACGCUCUCCUGGCAUGCGUGCGGCGCUGAGUUCGAUCCUCAGCACCACAUACAAAUAAAGAUGUUGUGUCCGCCGAAAACUAAAAAAUAAAUAUUAAAUUCUCUCUCUCUCUAAAAAAAAAUUUAUAUUAGGAUUCAAGGAUGACAAUUAUCCUAAGUUAAUCUGUAUCUUUAGAGCAAUCGUGUGUGUGCGCGCGCGUGUCUGAAAACAGAACUCAAUGGCUCUCUACCACUGAGCUACUCUUUUCUUUUUCUGUACCAGCAACAUUAUACCUCUGAGUUAUAUCUCCAUAUUCCCACUCUUCUUUUUUUUUUUAAUUUUAUCUUGAGCAGAGACUCACUGAGGUGGGGACGACUUCAACUUAUGAUUCUCCUGGCAAAGUAGCUGAGACUGAAAAAAAUGUUCAAUGUCUCUAUUAAUUAGAGAAAUGCAAAUUAAAGGUACACUGAGAUUUUACCUCACUCCAGUCAGAAUGGCAACUAUCAAGAAUAAAAGUAACAGCCAGUUGUGGUGGUGCACACCUGUAAUCCCAGCAUCUCUGCAGGCUGAGACAGGAGGAUUAUAGUUCAGUACCCACCCCCCAAAAAAUCCACCAAAACAACUAGGAAUGGAACCACCAUUUUACCCAGUCAUACCAGUUCUUGGUAUAUAUCCAAAAGAGUUAAAUUCAGCAUAAUACACUGACACAGGCAUAUAGAUGUUAUAGCAGUUCAAUUCACAAUAGCUAAACUAUAGAAACAACCUAGAUGGGGGAAAGGGAUAUGCGUGUGGGGGAGGGGUGAAAGGGUGGGGAAGGAGCAGGGGGUGUGGGGAUGGGAAGGUGAGGUUGGGGGCAUGAGGAUGGGGGUAUGGGGGACCAUGGGAUGGUGGAUGAGGCAGAAGGAUUGCGAUUAAAAUUUAGUGACAGCAGCAAUUUAGUGAUACUUCAUUCAAAUUUUUUAAGUGCUGGGAAUGCAGCCUAGUGGCAAAGUGCCCCUUGGUUCAAUUCCCAAUAUGGCAAUGUACAAAUAAACAAAUAAAAUCAUAUUGAGCACCUGUGGUGCAUGCCUGUACUUCCAGCUCAUCAGGAAGCUGAAGCAGAAGGAUCUCAAGUUCAAAGCUAACCUAGGCAACAUAGUGAGUCUCCCGUCAAACAAAAAGAAAACAGUAUAACAAGAAUACAACCAAAUAAAUAAAUAAAUAAAUAAAUAAGAAUACAACCAACCAAUUUUUUUUUUUUUGGUUGAACUCAGGGGCACUUAACCUCUGAGCCACAUCCCCAGCCCUAUUUUGUAUUUUAUUUAGAGACAGGGUCUCACUGAGUUGCUUAGCAUCUCACCGCUGCUGAGGCUAGCUUUGAAUUCGCCAUCCUCCUGUCUCAGUCUCCCAGAUGUAGAUGGCCACAACACUUUUAUUUUAUUUAUUUAUAUUUUAUUUAUUUAUUUUAUUUUAUUUACUUUAUAGGCAUGUGCCACUGCACCUGGCCAACCAAUUUUAAAUUGGAGAAAGAAAUAAUGGUUUAACAACAGUGUGAAUAUAUUCAAUGCCACUAAAUUGUGUUCUAAAAAAUGGCGAAAAUUGUAAAUUUUAUGCUACAUAUUUUUUAAAGAGGGGGGAGAAUUUUUUAAUUUUUUAAUAUUUAAUUUUAAUUUUUAAUAUUUAAUUUUAAUAUUUAAUUUUUUAAUAUUUAUUUUUUAGUUUUCAGUGGACACAACAUCUUUAUUUUAUUUGUAUGUGGUGCUGAGGAUUGAACGCAGCACAUGCCAGGUGAGCGCGCUACCGCUUGAGCCACAUCCUCAGCCCCAACAUAUUUUUUAAAGAGUUGAAAUCAGUAAAAAAAUUAUUUGUAGUUGUAGAGUUGUAGCUGGAUAGCAUCAUUUAUUUUAUUUGUUUAUUUUUAUAUGGUUCUAAGGAUCAAUCGCAGUGACUCCUACAUGCUAGGCAAUGCUCUGCCACUGAGCCAUAACUCCAGCCCAUACAUAUAUUUUUUAUUACAAUCAAAAUAUUUGCUAAGGGGCUGGGGUUGUGGCUUGGUGGUAGAGCACUUGCCUAGCAUACAUAAGGCACUGGGUUUGAACCUCAGUACCACAUAAAAAAUAAGUAAAUAGGGGCUGGGAGGUGGCUCCUAGCAUGCGUGAGGCACUGAGUUCAAUUCUCAGCCACAUAAAAAUAAAAUAAAGAUAUUGUGUCCACCUAAAAACUAAAAAAUAAAUAUAAAAAAUAAAUUAAUUAAUUAAAUAAAAGUGUUGUUGCCAUCUACAACUAAAGAUAUUUUUUUAAAAAGAUUUGCCAAAACAUGGGGAAGGGGAGAAAAAAGGACUUGAAUAGAAAUUUCUCCAAGGAAGAUGUACAAAUGGCCAAUAAACACAUGAAAUUGUGCUCAACAUCUUUAGUCAUUCCAUAAGGGAGCUACAUAUCAAAACUGCUAUGACAUUUCACUUCAUACCCAUGAAGAUUUCUAUUUAUUUUUAAAAAGAGGAAAGAAAUAAAAUAAUAAAGGUUGGUAAGAACAUGGAACAUUUCUUGCAGGAAUAUAAAUAGGGUAAUCACAGUAAAUAUAGUUUAUCAAUUACUCAACAAAUUAAAUAUAGAAUUAUCAUAUGAUUCAGAGACAACCCAUUUGAGACAACCCAUUCCUAGGUACAGUAUAUGCCAAAAACAAUUGAAAAGAGGUCAGACAAAAGCCAGGUGGUGUUGUGCACUCCUUUAAUCCCAGGGUCUGGGGAGGCUGAGGCAAGAGGGUUGCAAGUUCAUGACCAGUCUUGGUAACUUAGUAAGACCCUGUCAAAGCAAAAAAAUAAAAGUGGCUAGGAAUGUAGCUAAAUGGUAUAGCACCUCUGGAUUCAAUUCCCAGUAUUGAAAAAAAAUUAAAAAUAAAAAUAAUAAUUAAAAGACUAAUAAAUAACACUGAAUUGGGAUUUGGUAGUAGAGGAAGAUAUUUUUUGAAUAGUGCUAGAAGCAGGCUUUGUGUGUGUUAUGUUUGGGGGGGUAUUUGGAAUUGAAUUCAUGGGCUCACACACUCCUGAGCCCCAUCCAUAGCCUUUCUUUAUUUUGUUUUGAGACAAGGUCUCCCUAAAUUGCCUUCCCUGGCCUGAACUUGUGGUCCUCUUGCCUCAACUACCUGAGUAACUGAGAUUACAAGCCUGUGCUAGCAGCAGGUACUCAUAGGGGGAAUUUCUAUGAAAGAAAGAAAAACAAAGAUUAGCAGUUGGAAGCCCAAUUUUUUGGGGAGUGCUGUUAUAAAGGAUUGAACUCCAGGGUACUCGACUAUUAAGCCACAUCCCGAGCCCUAGGCUGGCUUUGAACUCGCUAUCCUCCUGCCUCAUCCUCCCAAGAUGCUGGGAUUACAAGGCAUAUGCCACCACACUCAGCUGGGAGUCCAAUUUAAGAGUCCAGAGGGCAGUCAGUGACAUUUCAGGAUUCUGGACUUAAGGAUGGCAUUAGCAUUCUCACUUGAUCACUUCAAAGUUUGUUUUGCAGAAACUGGUUUUGUGUGUGUGUGUGUGUGUGUUGCUGGGGAAUCAAACCCAGGGCCUUGUGCAUGUGAGGCAAGCACUCUACCAGCCCUGCUUUUUAUUUAAAAUUCUUUUUGUAGUUGUAGAUGGAUAGAAUACCUUUAUUUAUUUAUUUAUUGGUAUUGGGCAUUUAACUCAGGGCACCCAACUACUCAGCCACAUCCCCAGCUCUAUUUUGUAUUUUAUUUAGAGACAGGGUCUCACUGAGUUGCUUAGCGCCUCACUUUUACUGAGGGUGGCUUUGAACUCGCAAUCCUUCUGCCCCUGAGCCACUGGGAUUACAGGUCUGUGCCACCACGCCCGGCUAGAAUAUCUUUAUUUUAUUCGUUUAUUUAUCUAUUAUUUUUUGGUGUGGUGCUGGAGAUUGAACCCAGGGCCUUGUAUAUGUGAGACAAGACUCUACCAACUGAGCUAUAUCCCCAGUCCUUGUUUAUUUCUAUGUGUUGCUAAGGAUAGUUUAUUUCUAUGUGCUGCUAAGGAUAGAACCCAGUCCCCUCACACAUGCUAGCUUUGAACUCUGUGCUCUGCCACUGAAGUACAAUCCCAGCCCUUGCAGAAACUUUUUUUUUUUUUUGUACUGAAGAUUGAACUCAGGGGACUUAACCACUGAGCCACAUCUCCAGCCCUUUUUCAUAUUUUAUUUAGAGACAUGGUCUCACUGAAUUGCUUGGCACCUUGCUAAGUUGCUGAGGCUGGCUUUGAACUUGCAAUCCUCCUGCCUCAGCCUCCCAACUCCCAAGCCAUUGGGAUUAUAGGAAUGUGCCAGUAUGCCAGCUUGCAGAAACUUUUGAUAAAGAAUAUUAGACUGUAUUUUUUUUUUUUUUUUGGUGGUGGUUGUGCUGAGGACAGAAUCUUGAGCUAAGUAUAGGAUGUAUCAAUGAGCUAUCCCCAACCCCUCAGAUUGUACCUUUGUUUUUUAGACAGGGUUUCACUAUGUUUGCCAGGUUAGGCUCAAGUAGUCCUCCUGGCUCAGCUUCCUGAGUAUUAUGGACUAUAUUUAUGCACUACCAUGUCUAGCAGAUUACACAUUUAACACCCAUAGAGACUAGGAAGUCAAGUCAAAGACUAGCCAUCAGAUUUUGCAUGAAAUAUUUAUAAGUUGGGUGAAUUCUUCCCUUCUCCAGAGGCAAAAAGUAUCAUAAGUCACAAAGGAUCUUAAACGACAUUCCUUAAGUGACAUUCCUUAAAUGACAUUCCUUACCUUACAAUAACCAGAGAGGGACCAUAUGCGGUCCCAGGUAUGAGGUUCCAGGCUAGUAUCCUUCCAGGAAGCUUUAUGGGCUCCAUAUGAUCAACCUUAGUUGUUUUUUGUUGUUGUUAUUUGUUUGUUUGUACCAGGGAUUGAACUCAGGGGCACUUAACUACUGAGCCAUAUCCCCAGCCCUACUUUGUAUUUUAUUUAGAGAGUAUUUAGAGAUAGGUUCUCACUGAGUUGCUGAGGCUGACUUUGUUUGAACUCAGGAUCCUCAUGCCUCAGCUUUCCGAGCUGUUGGGAUUACAGGCAUGCAUCACUGUGCCCGGCUCAACCUUAGUUCUUUAAUGUUGCCUGGUAAUAUCUGAAAAUAUGAUAUUUGAGUCAAAAUCUUGGAAAUAUAAGCAAUAAUUGUGUCCUAUUACAAAAACAUCUUCUCAUUAAAUUUGUGCAAGCUUUAUAUUGCCAUGAAAAUAAGAAUAUUCAAUAGUUUCUGCAGUCUAGAGGGGAUAGGUAGGGACAAAAAGUUUGUUCCAUCUUUGACUCACAGAGGCAUACUUUACUAAAUUACUGUAAAAUAUACAUAGCUAGUGGAAAUAGUUUCCUUAAAUCUGAAGGAUGUGGUUGUAACUCAGUGGAUAAAGCUUGCCCAGCUUGGGCUGGGGAUGUGGCUCAAGCGAUAGCGCACUCACCUGGCAUGCGUGUGGCCUGGGUUCAAUCCUCAGCACCACAUACAAACAAAGAUGUGUCCACCGAAAACUAAAAAAUAAAUAUUAAAUAUUAAAAAAUUCUCUCUCUUAAAAAAAAAAAGAAAGAAAGCUUGCCCAGCUUGUGUGAGGCCUUUGUUAAUUAUUAGCAACAUACACACACACUCUCUCUCUCUCUCUCUCUCUCUCUCACACACACACACACCAUUGCUUAAAUGUGGAAAAAUAAAAUAUAAAAUAACAAGUAAUAUUUUUUAAAAUUAUUUUUUUAGUUGUAGAUGGACACAGUAACUUUACUUUUAUGUGGCGCUGAGGACUGAACCCAGUCGCUCACACAUGCAAGGCAGGUGCUUUGCCACUGAGCUACAGCCCCAGCCCAAGAACGAAUAAUAUUUAUGACUUAAAGAAAAACUGAUAAUGCUACUACAUGGUCAAACUUUGAAAAUUAUAUACUAAGUCAAAGAACCCAAACACACAAAAGGCCACACAUUGCAGAUUCUACUUAUAUGUCUAGGAUGGGCCAUUGAAGAGAAAAAGAUUAGGGGUGAUCAGAGUUUUGAUGAGUGGAGUUAGAGCGUAAAGAGAGCAAAUUGGGCUCUCCUCAAAGUUAUCUAUGAUGUAUAUAGACCAGUAGUUUUCAGACUAUGCCAAAAUUUGAGUUAUUCCAUUUUGUAAAGCAGUAGUUUGCCAUAAGUUACUCUACUUCUAAGUGUUUAGGUGGAAUGACUCCAUACCUUGCUUGUACAAGCAAACAACCACCAUCUGCCUUGCACAGGCAUAAAGUACAAACCAAUAAAUAAAUACUACUAAUAAAAAUGACCACCUUUGAACUGACUGAAUUAAUCAGCAGCACAUGAAUACAUGACAUAUCAAACUCAUAUCAGAAAAACCAGGCCCAUGAGCAUAUGGAACACAUCAGACCACUGUAUGAAGCAGCCUACCUGAGGCCCCAUAAAAGGAGUAGCACCCUGAGACUGGUCAUUUCAGUACCCUGACUCCUUCACCUGGUCAAUAUCAUGAGCCUUGCCCAGGAAGAUCACCACAUCACAAGCUUCUGAAUGUUGGUCCUCAGGUUAUAGCACUGUGUGGUUUCUCCUGCCCAUGGCCCACAGCAAGCUGACACUCUGAAACUGUGGUCUGACCACACCUUGGUCCUAUGCUUUGACAGCUCUACACCCUAAACAAAUUCUUUUUUUUUUAAUAUUUAUUUUUUAGUUUUCUACAUCUUUGUUUGUAUGUGGUGCUGAGGAUCGAACCCGGGCCGCAGGCAUGCCAGGUGAGCGUGCUACCGCUUGAGCCACAUCCCCAUCCCCUGAACAAAUUCUUAAGCUAGUCCUUAAUAUUUUUUUUGGUGGGGGGUUCGUACAAGAGAUUGAACCCAGGGGCACUCAGGCACUGAGCCACAGCCCUAUCUCUAUAUCUAUCUAUCUAUCUUAGAUACAAUACCUUCAUUUUAUUUAUUUAUUUUUCUGUGGUGCUGAGGACCGAACCCAGGGCCUCACACUUGCUAGGUAAGCGCUCUACCGCUGAGCCACAACCCCAGGCCCUCAGCCCUAUUUUGUAUUUUAUUUAGAGACAGGGUCUCACUGAGUUUCUUAGUGUCUCGCCAUUGCUGAGGCUGGCUUUUAACCCAGUCUUAGCCUCCUGAGCAACUGGGAUUACAGGUUUGUGCCACUGCAUCCAGUGAGCUGGUCCUUAAUAUUUUAUUUUUGUUUUUUUUUGUUACCAGGGACUGAACCCAGGGGCGCUUAACCACUGAGCAACAUCUCCAGCCCUUUUUACGUUUUAUGUUCAGCUAUAAAAUCGGCUUGCAGAACUAUUAUUUGGUUCCAUUCUUAUGUCUAGAUUACUUAACACAGUGUGUGGCAAUUUUAGAUUUUCCUUAAUUGAUGGUAGCAUUGAUGGCAACUAGGGGUAGUAGAUUUAACAGAUGAAACAAUAAAAUGGUCAGCAAAAUAAGAAAAGCUUGCUAAAUUGUUUAGGGCCUUGCUAUAUUGUUGAGGUUGGCCUUGAAUUUGGGAUUCUUCUGUUUCAGCCUUCUAAACUGCUGGGAUUAAAGGCCUAUGCCACCUUCUGGGCCUGGUCCUUAAUCUUUUGACCCUCUACAGUGCUCUUAGUUCAGUCUCAGAACACCUACAGCUGCUUUAAGCCUUUUUUAGUCUAGUGUAAAGUGUGUGACUUGAGUGUUUUAGCUAUUAAAAAUUGAGACUUGGGGCCGGGGCUGUAGCUCAGUGGCAGAGCGCUUGCCUAGCAUGUGUGAGGCACUGGGUUCCAUAUUUAGCACCACAUAAAAAUUAAAAAAUGAAAAAAAGGCAUUCUGUCCAUACAAAACUACAUUUUUUUUAAAAUUAAAAGAUUGGAGUAAAGAAACCUGAUUGUUUGGCUUAUGACCAUCAGGUGACCCACAAGUAUUCAGUGAACUGACACUGAUGAAAACAGUGUUACCUGUGAAUUUAUUGUUAUUCACUAAAUUGUGACACUGUGGAAAGACACCAAACGUGUUUUGUCUAUGUAAAUGACAUAGCUCACUCAUGACAGGGAGUUAAUAGGUUAAUAGGUGUAGGUUUCUUAUUUGGGUGAUGAAAAGAGUUAAUAAUAGCAGUGGUCAUGGUGGCACAACCUAUGAACACUCUAAAGGCCAUUAAAUUGUACACUUUAAAAUAGUCCAUCUUGGCGCAAUGGUGCGAACCUGUCUGUGGUCCCAACUCUGGAGGCUGAGGC